ACCAUGAGAGUUGGAAAUACCCGAAGCCUGUGAGCUAACAGUAAUGAGGCAGCAGGUCGAAGGUAGAGCCAAUGAUUGGGGUGAAGUCGUAACAAGGUAGC
rnacentral:rRNA from 1 species